GACGAACGCUGGCGGCGUGCUUAACACAUGCAAGUCGAACGGAAAGGCCCUGCUUUUGUGGGGGGCUCGAGUGGCGAACGGGUGAGUAACACGAGAGUAACCUGCCCUGGACCUUGGGAUAACUUCAGGAAACUGGGGCUAAUACCGGACAGGAGCUCCUGCGGCUUGGUCGGGGUUGGAAAGUUUCGGCGGUUGGGGAUGGACUCGCGGCGCUUCAGCCCGUUCGUGGGGUAGUGGCUUACCAAGGCUUUGACGGGUAGCCGGCCUGAGUGGGUGACCGGCAAGGUUGGGACUGAGAUGCGGCGCAGACGCGGGGGGGAUGGAGCAGUGGGGGAUAGUGCGCUGUGGGCGGGAGGCGGAUGCAGUGGCGGCGCGUGCGGGAUGACGGCCUUCGGGUAGUAAAGCGCGUUCGCCUGUGACGAGGCGUGGGUGACGGUAAUGGGUAAAGAAGCACCGGCUAACUACGUG
rnacentral:rRNA from 1 species